AUAGAACUCCCAGAAAUCAAAAGCAUUAUAGGAUACUAUAUACUUUCCUGAUCCUAUAGUAAAUACUAGUGUAGUAACCCAUGCAAUACGAUGGGUAGAUAAUUGAAAAAAAAAGAAAGCAGUGACAAAAGAAGAGAAAACGACAAUGAAAAAAACGACGAUGAGGGGUAGGAUUCAUCUUAUUGAUAAAGGAAGGUAACAGUAGAGGAAGAGAAACAG
rnacentral:lncRNA from 1 species